GGGGCUGUAGCUCAGUGGCAGAGCGCUUGCCUAGCAUGCAUGAGGCAUUGGGUUCGAUCUUCAGCACCA
rnacentral:tRNA from 1 species